rnacentral:rRNA from 1 species
UACGGAGGGUGCAAGCGUUGUCCGGAAUCACUGGGCGUAAAGGGCGCGUAGACGGCUCGGUAAGUAGGGGGUGAAAUCCUGCGGCUUAACCGCAGGGCUGCCUUCUAAACUGUCGAGCUCGAGCACGGUAGAGGCAGAUGGAAUUCCCGGUGUAGCGGUGGAAUGCGUAGAGAUCGGGAAGAACAUCAGUGGCGAAGGCGGUCUGCUGGGCCGUUGCUGACGCUGAGGCGCGACAGCGUGGGGAGCAAACAGG